rfam:Rathayibacter sp. Leaf294 contig_4, whole genome shotgun sequence.
CGGGCCGGCAAGACGGUCGCGUCGCCGGGGCGAGAGCCCCGGCGCCGAGGAACGUCCGGGCUCCGCAGAGCAGGGCGGUGGGUAACACCCACCCGGGGUGACCCGCGAGACAGUGCCACAGAAAGCAGACCGCCACGGGCUCCGGCCCGCGGUAAGGGUGAAACGGUGGUGUAAGAGACCACCAGGGGCCGGAGUGAUCCGGCUCGCUCGGUAAACCUCGCCCGGAGCAAGGUCAGACAGAGGACGAUGCGGCUGCUCGUCGGGUCCUCGGGUAGACCGCUGGAGGGUCACGGCAACGUGACUCCGAGAGAGAUGGCCGUCCAGCGCCCGCCGAGAGGCGCGGCGUGAACAGAACCCGGCGUAUCAGCCGGCCCCUUCG